CGCGCCGGGGAACAGGAUUGGACAGAAGGCCUCCACGGCCCCGCCCAGUGCCUGAAGCGAGGGACCCACUGGGCCUGCGCCGUGCAGGGACUCCGCCCCGCCUGCCUCGAGCGUUCUAGGCCUGGGGUAGGAUUCUGGGCUGCGGGCCUGGGAAAGACUUGCCUCGCACCAAGCUAGCUCCCCAAGUCCGCGCAGCCUCGGUGACCUGCCUGACGCUGUGGGAGCUCAAUGCCCCGACGCCCCGACCUGAGCUAUCUGGGGACUCCUCCGCCCACGGAAGGACCCAGCCUCCUGGAAGACACUGAAACGGAUGGCUCAAACCUGUUUACACCGGUUUCUGCUUGACGCCGCGCCCAGAUUCCCUCACUCUUUUUCUUGCGCGCCCCGUUGCUCUCCUCCCUUUUCCCAGGGCGAUGCUUUUUGCAUCACCCAAGCAAAGAACUCAGCCCAGAGUUUUAGAAAGGAAUUUCGUUGUCCGCCCUGUGUUCUGGCAAGAGCACGGUGACCACACGGAUCCCUCCUCGACCUCUUUCCCUUCAUCUCUGAGGCUGAAGUUUGCCCAAGCUGCAACACUAUACCAUCCCGGUCCCCUGGCCCUGCUGCACUUUUCAACGUCCUUGAAGGCACCAGGGAUGUUCACAGGGCAAACCUGGGGCUUAUCUGAUGUUUCUAUUAUCGUGCCAAGAAAUGGAAUUUUUAACCAGAACAGAGCUGGACAAAUUCUAGCUGAAGAGGUGGUUAAUGUAGUUUCAUAGUUUUUGGAAAGGAAAAGACCACAAAUUUACAUGUGCUCUGAACUAGAUAUCAAAUACAGUAUAAAAAGAACAAGAUUUGAAAUUAACAUACAUUACAGGCCCCGAUCCCUAAUUUGUCUUUCCAAACUCAUUUAGUAGUAAAGUUUGAACUGAAUGGAUCAUAACAGAAAAUUAUGGUUAGAGGCAUCAUUAUUUUGGGACACAACCAACAGUAAACUAAAGGAUGAUGAAUAUAAAGAGAUAAACUCAAUAUGAAAAAUUACCAACAGCAGAUGAACAGUGUUUUUUAUUCAAAGGUACUGUUUUUUUGUUUGUUUGUUUGUUUUUGUUUUUGUGUUUUGUACCAGAGAUUGAACCCAGGGGCACUUAACCACUGAGCCACAUCCCCAGCCCUCUUUAUAUUUUAUUUUGAGACUGGAUCUUUCUACAUUACUUUAGGGCCUCACUAAAUUGCUGAAGCUGGCUUUGAACUGGUGAUCCUUCUGCCUCAGCCCUCCUAGUCACUGGGAUUACAAGCAUUUGCCCACCAUACCCAGCCAAAAGGACUCUUUUCAACAUUGGUGCUUAAUUUGGGGUCACCACUGAUGAUAUUUAUUAUAUAUGAAAGUUUACCCCCAAAAUCCUAGGGGAAGAGUUAAGACAACUAUAAUGUUUUUACAUUUUAGAAAAAUUCCUUAUUACCUAACAGAACAAAACAUUUAAAAGCUUAUAACGGCUUUAUUGAGAUAUAAAUCAUAUGCCAUAAAUUUUACCCGCUUAAAGUGUAUAAAUCAAUAUUUACCAUAUUGAUAAUUAUUCAAUCAUCAUAACCUAAUUUUAGAACACUGUCAUCCCCCCAAAAAAACACACCUGUUAGCAAUCACUCCUCACCUCACCCCACCUACAACUUCCCAGUCCUAUACAACCAGUAACAGACUUUCUGUCACUAUAGAUUUGCCUAUUCUGGAUACUUUGUAUGAAUAGAAUCCUGCAAUAUGUGGCCAUUUGUAACUGGCUUUCUUUCAGUUAUAUUCUCUAGAUUCAUCCAUGUUUUAGCAUAUACCAGUACUUUGUUCCUUUUUUUAAGCUAAAUAAUAAUUACCUUGUAUCAAUGUACCAACUUUUGUUUAUGCAUUCAUCAGUUGAUGGACAUUUGAGUUGUCUACUUUCUGAUUAUUUGAAUAAUGCUACUAUAAAUAUUUCUGUACAGGUUUUAUGUGAGCAUGUUUUCAAUUCAUCUUGAAUAUACUUUAUAGUGGAAUUGUAGGAUAUGUUAAUUCUAUGUUUAACAUUUCAAAAACUGCCAAACUGCUUUACAAAGUGACAGUACCAUUUUAUAUACCUACUAAAAAUAUAUGGAGAUUCUAAUUUUUCCAUGCCCUUCAUUACAGUACUAUAGCAAUAGUGUUCAUUAUUAUCUUUUUAUUAUUACUGUCCUAGUGAGUUUAUCUUGUGGUUUUGAU